rnacentral:rRNA from 1 species
UACGUAGGGUGCGAGCGUUAAUCGGAAUUACUGGGCGUAAAGCGUGCGCAGGCGGUGAUGUAAGACAGAUGUGAAAUCCCCGGGCUCAACCUGGGAACUGCAUUUGUGACUGCAUCGCUGGAGUGCGGCAGAGGGGGAUGGAAUUCCGCGUGUAGCAGUGAAAUGCGUAGAUAUGCGGAGGAACACCGAUGGCGAAGGCAAUCCCCUGGGCCUGCACUGGCGCUCAUGCACGAAAGCGUGGGGAGCAAACAGG